rnacentral:ncRNA from 1 species
GCGUGGGUCGGCCCGCUGCACUGGAUCCAGUGGGCUGGGGGAUACCGUCACCUCAAUUCCCCGCGGGUGACGGUCCGGUCCGGGGGGCGCAGCCCGCCUCCCGGACCGUC